rnacentral:rRNA from 1 species
UACGUAGGGGGCUAGCGUUGCUCGGAAUCACUGGGCGUAAAGGGUGCGUAGGCGGGUCUUUAAGUCAGGGGUGAAAUCCUGGAGCUCAACUCCAGAACUGCCUUUGAUACUGAAGAUCUUGAGUCCGGGAGAGGUGAGUGGAACUGCGAGUGUAGAGGUGAAAUUCGUAGAUAUUCGCAAGAACACCAGUGGCGAAGGCGGCUCACUGGCCCGGUACUGACGCUGAGGCACGAAAGCGUGGGGAGCAAACAGG